rnacentral:rRNA from 1 species
GCACAAGCGGUGGAGCAUGUGGUUAAUUCGACGCAACGCGAAGAACCUUACCAGGGCUUGACAUCCCCUGACCGCGUAUGAAAGUACGUUUUCACCUCGGGUGACAGGGAGACAGGUGGUGCAUGGUUGUCGUCAGCUCGUGUCGUGAGAUGUUGGGUUAAGUCCCGCAACGAGCGCAACCCCUACGUUUAGUUGCUAACGCGUGAAGGCGAGCACUCUAGACGAACUGCCGUUGACAAAACGGAGGAAGGUGGGGAUGACGUCAAAUCAUCAUGCCCCUUAUGUUCUGGGCUACACACGUGCUACAAUGGCCGGUACAGACGGACGCAAAGCCGCGAGGUGGAGCAAAUCCUAAAAAGCCGGUCUCAGUUCGGAUUGCAGGCUGCAAUUCGCCUGCAUGAAGUCGGAAUCGCUAGUAAUCGCAGGUCAGCAUACUGCGGUGAAUACGUUCCCGGGCCUU